rnacentral:rRNA from 1 species
AUACAGGGGGUGCGAGCGUUAAUCGGAAUUACUGGGCGUAAAGAGUACGUAGGCGGUUGCUUAAGUCAGAUGAGAAAGCCCCGGGCUCAACCUGGGAACUGCAUUUGAAACUGAGUGACUAGAGUUUAAGAGAGGGGAGUAGAAUUCCGGGUGUAGCGGUGAAAUGCGUAGAGAUCCGGAGGAAUACCAGUGGCGAAGGCGGCUCCCUGGCUUAAAACUGACGCUGAGGUACGAAAGCGUGGGUAGCAAACAGGAUUAGAAACCCUAGUAGUCC